rnacentral:ncRNA from 23 species
GCCUUCUACAUAGUCAGUGGUUCCGUGCAAACGGAUGAAAAGGGAACACCGUUCCGCUUCGGCAGGGUUUGUCCCGGAAGCCAGUCGGUGGCUGCUCCCGCAACUGUAAGCGGUAUGGGAUCGUGUCGUCCAUUUUCUGUGGGGAAUGGGCCACUGUUGUAUUAGCAACGGGAAGGUAGAAACGAUCUGCGAUAAUCCGCGAGCCAGGAGACCUGCCAUUGUCGAUGUCACGGCC